CCUACGGGUGGCUGCAGUCGAGGAUCUUCGGCAAUGAGCGCAAGCUUGACCGAGCGACGCCGCGUGUGCGAUGAAGGCCUUCGGGUUGUAAAGCACUGUUGGGGGGGAGAAAAGCCGAAAGGUUUGAUCUAUCCCCGGAGGAAGCACGGGCUAAGUUCGUGCCAGCAGCCGCGGUAAGACGAACCGUGCGAACGUUGUUCGGAAUCACUGGGCUUAAAGGGCGCGUAGGCGGGCCGUCAAGUCCGGGGUGAAAUCCUCCAGCCUAACUGGAGAAGCGCCUCGGAGACUGGCGGCCUUGAGGAGGGUAGGGGCAAGCGGAACUAUGGGUGGAGCGGUGAAAUGCAUUGAUAUCCAUAGGAACUCCGGUGGCGAAGGCGGCUUGCUGGACCCUGUCUGACGCUGAGGCGCGAAAGCCAGGGGAGCGAACGGGAUUAGAUACCCCAGUAGUC
rnacentral:rRNA from 1 species